rnacentral:lncRNA from 1 species
AAUUCCGGGAAUUGACAAUUUUGAGCUCGGAAUUCAAACUGGGUUGGGGCCUAUAAAUACCCCACCCUUUCAGCAAUGACAGAGUAACCAAAAACCACUGAAAACCUGAUCUUACUCUAUGAUUUUUAGAGCUCAAAAGUGUUGUAUGAGUUAGAAGUUCUCCUCCCUCUUUUCUUCCAAGUUCUGAUCUUUCAAGAGAGGAGAGAAAAUUCUGUAAGGGU